rnacentral:rRNA from 1 species
AAAACCCUAGAGAUAGGGCUUCUCCUUCGGGAGCAGAGUGACAGGUGGUGCAUGGUUGUCGUCAGCUCGUGUCGUGAGAUGUUGGGUUAAGUCCCGCAACGAGCGCAACCCUUGAUCUUAGUUGCCAUCAUUAAGUUGGGCACUCUAAGGUGACUGCCGGUGACAAACCGGAGGAAGGUGGGGAUGACGUCAAAUCAUCAUGCCCCUUAUGACCUGGGCUACACACGUGCUACAAUGGACGGUACAAAGAGCUGCAAGACCGCGAGGUGGAGCUAAUCUCAUAAAACCGUGCUCAGUUCGGAUUGUAGGCUGCAACUCGCCUACAUGAAGCUGGAAUCGCUAGUAAUCGCGGAUCAGCAUGCCGCGGUGAAUACGUUCCCGGGCCUUGUACACACCGCCCGUCACACCACGAGAGUUUGUAACACCCGAAGUCGGUGGGGUAACCUUUUUGGAGCCAGCCGCCUAAGGUGGGACAGAUGAUUGGGGUGAAGUCGUAACAAGGUAGCCGUAUCGGAAGGUGCGGCUGGAUCACCUCCUUU